UCCGGUUUAACACCGGCAGUCUCCUUAGAGUUCCCACCAUUACGUGCUGGCAACUAAGGACAGGGGUUGCGCUCGUUACGGGACUUAACCCAACAUCUCACGACACGAGCUGACGACAGCCAUGCAGCACCUGUCUCUCGGCUCCGGUUAGGGCACGCCUCUAUCUCUAAAGGCUUCCGAGGAUGUCAAAAGUAGGUAAGGUGCUUCGGGUUGCAUCGAAUUAAACCACAUGCUCCACCGCUUGUGCGGGCCCCCGUCAAUUUCUUUGAGUUUUAAUCUUGCGACCGUACUCCCCAGGCGGAGAACUUAACGCGUUAGCUGCGCUACCAAGACGUCUAAGCGUCCCGACAGCUAGUUCUCAUCGUUUACGGCGUGGACUAC
rnacentral:misc_RNA from 1 species